rnacentral:rRNA from 1 species
UCUUUCUUUGCUGGCGACCGGCGCACGGGUGAGUAACACGUAUCCAACCUGUCCUUUACUCGGGGACAGCCUUUCGAAAGAAAGAUUAAUACCCGAUAGUAUAAUGAUUCCGCAUGGUUUCAUUAUUAAAGGAUUCCGGUAAAGGAUGGGGAUGCGUUCCAUUAGGUUGUUGGUGAGGUAACGGCUCACCAAGCCUUCGAUGGAUAGGGGUUCUGAGAGGAAGGUCCCCCACAUUGGAACUGAGACACGGUCCAA